GACGAACGCUGGCGGCGCGCUUAACACAUGCAAGUCGAGCGAGAACCAGCCCUUCGGGGCUGGGGACAGCGGCGAACGGGUGAGUAACACGUGGGUAAUCUGCCCUCGGCACCGGGAUAGCCCGGGGAAACCCGGAUUAAUACCGGAUGGCCUUUUGUAGCCCUCGGGCUUGAAAGGAAAGGUAGCUUGGCCUCUGGCCGAGGAUGAGCCCGCGGCCGAUUAGCUCGUUGGUGAGGUAAUGGCNCACCAAGGCGACGAUCGGUAGCUGGUCUGAGAGGACGAUCAGCCACACUGGGACUGAGACACGGCCCAGACUCCUACGGGAGGCAGCAGUGGGGGAAUCUUGCGCAAU
rnacentral:rRNA from 1 species